GUUCAUAGCAGGUUUAUUCAUAAUAGCCAAAGACUACAAACAACCAAACGUCUAUAAACAAAGUCAUAAUACAUUGUGAUGUAUUCAUAUGAUGGAAUACUAAGCAUAAGAGGAACAAACUACUGAUACAUACCACAGCAUAAACGAAUCUCAAAAGCACUGGAUUAAAUAAACCGCUCUACAAUUCUGUAUGAAGGUCUGAAAACACUAAGCUAAUCUGUCGUAUUAGAAAUCAGAACAGUGGCUUCUUUGCAUAGUACAGACUGAGAAGGGCACAGGGAACUUUCUGGAGUGAUGGAAAUGUUCUAUAUCUUGACUGAGGUGAUGGUUACAUGAGUACAUACAUUUGUCAAAACUCAGAAUUGUACUUUAAAAUUUGUACAUUUUACUGUAUGUAAAUUAAGCCUCAAAUUUAAAGUACCUUUAUUUAUUUAUUUGUUUGUUUGUUUAUUUAUUGCAGAAUCUUGCUGUGUUGCCCAGGCAGGAAUGCAGUGGUGCAAUCACGGCUCACUGCAGCCUCUACCUCCUAGGCUCAAGCAAUCCUCAGCCUCCUGAGAGUAGCUGGGACUACAGCUCCUCUCUCGAUCGGAAGAUUUUUACAGCCACCCUACUGAUCUUUAGGGAUUUGUAAACUAUUACCCAGGAAGAAGGCCCAUGGAGCUAAGGCCUCAGAACACCAAAGUCUGGACUGUCUGAGGGCACAUGCUAAUAACAGGAGGCUGGCAAAGUGGCCAGCUCCCAUGCCUUUGCAUGCAUUUGUCUUUACCUCCUGCUGCCUGGGAACAUCCUUCCAGGAGCAAUCGAGUCAACAGCACCACAGACACUGCUAUUCCGUUGAGAAAAGUUUUAUAUGGAAACACAUACUGAUCAUGAACACAAUAAACAGGGAGGGAAGCUCGGGCUCAGCCAGGAAACCUGCCACAAGGAAGAU
rnacentral:lncRNA from 10 species